UAAUACGUAGGGGGCAAGCGUUGUCCGGAAUCAUUGGGCGUAAAGGGCGCGUAGGCGGUAUGAUAAGUCAGGUGUGAAAGUUUGGGGCUUAACCCCAAAAUUGCACUUGAAACUGUUGUACUUGAGUACUGGAGAGGUAAGUGGAAUUCCUAGUGUAGCGGUGAAAUGCGUAGAUAUUAGGAGGAACACCAGUGGCGAAGGCGGCUUACUGGACAGUAACUGACGCUGAGGCGCGAAAGCGUGGGGAGCAAACAGG
rnacentral:rRNA from 1 species